CUAGCUUAGUUGAAUAAAAUACCUUAUUAGACUUCGUACUGUCCAUUUUUCUGCUUCAGUAAUUCCGUUUGUGUCUCUUCUUUUCUGUAUGUGUCAUAAUAAGGGCUAUUUUAUAACCCUUAUUAUGACUAAAGGGUUAUUUUAUAAGAGAUUCCCAAAAUUGUCCUAAACUUAUGAUUUUGUUAUUGAUUACAUGUACAAGUCAGUAUUGUGCUAAGCAAGCUCUAACUACAUGUACCUUAAUGUCAAAGAUCAAUUACUUUUUAUUUUUUAUAUAUAGCAGGGUUUUAUACAGUAGAAAGGGGCCCCUGUACUUUAAGUUCCCCCAUUUAAUAAAAGGGUUUAUAUUUGUCUUAAUUCACUGUUGUUUACCAAUUGGAACUAGCAAAGCAAUUGUGUGCAUAACAGCCAGCUUAUGCCUGUACUAGUAAAAUAAGCUUUUGCCGCUAUCUCAAAAUAAAUUGCUUAACAACAUGCAAUGUUAUUGUUAAUUUUCAUCAUGUCCCCUAUAAAGAUAUCCGACAUAAAUCCCUGCAAAAUGGGACCAUUAUAAAAAUUGAAUAUGCAAACAUCUGUGGUAUUUAUGCACUGAGUCUGAAGUUAUAAAACCAUUUAAUAUUAUUGCAGUGAGAAGCGUUAUUUAAAUGAUAAAAUUAUAUUCAUCAUGGUUGAUACUAAGCUUUUGCAGGGAAUCCUUAUGGAUGUUGAGCCACUAAGAUUCAAGCCUAUGACUUUGGAAUCAAACUUACUUAAUCACAAGCAAUUUUCCAAGGCUCACUUAUUGUGGCUACUUUUGUAUCAUGUACAGGAUCCUAUGAAUUUUGGUGCUAUCAUACGUAGUGCAUAUUUUUUUGGGGUUGAUCGAAUUCUAGUUACUAACAAAAGUAGUUGCCCUUUGUCUCCAGUUGUGAGCAAAUCUAGUGCAGGAGCAAUGGAAAUGCUCUCCAUUCAUUCAAUUUCAGAUGUUAUUUCUUUACUGAAGGUUGCAGCUGAUAAAGGCUGGGAUAUUCUAGGUACAGUCAGUCCAAAUAAAUUUGAACAUUUCUCUGUAAUAUCAGCAUCAGAUCACAAAGUCAUUAGACCAACUAUGUUGAUAGUAGCACUGCAAGUAUUAGGAGUCACUUGACGUGGAGAAGUAGAAUUGACAGUUUUUAGUCUGUGGGUCCAUUGUAGGUAUACCUCCACAAUCGUGGUAUGACAAAAUUUUACGUUUAAGGAAAUGAAGGUCAUGGUUUAACUAAAGAAGUUUGCUCGUGUUGUACAAAACUACUAACCAUUAAUCCCAAA
rnacentral:misc_RNA from 1 species